UACGUAGGGUGCGAGCGUUGUCCGGAAUUAUUGGGCGUAAAGAGCUCGUAGGCGGUUUGUCGCGUCGACUGUGAAAACACUGGGCUUAACUCAGUGCUUGCUUCCGAUACGGGCAGACUAGAGGUAUUCAGGGGAGAACGGAAUUCCUGGUGUAGCGGUGAAAUGCGCAGAUAUCAGGAGGAACACCGGUGGCGAAGGCGGUUCUCUGGGAAUGUCCUGACGCUGAGGAGCGAAAGUGUGGGGAGCGAACAGG
rnacentral:rRNA from 1 species